rnacentral:rRNA from 1 species
UACGGAGGGUGCAAGCGUUGUUCGGAAUUAUUGGGCGUAAAGAGCGUGUAGGCGGUUUGGCAAGUCAGACGUGAAAGCCCUGGGCUCAACCCAGGAAGUGCAUUUGAUACUGCCUCACUAGAGUAUGGGAGAGGAGAGUGGAAUUCCCAGUGUAGAGGUGAAAUUCGUAGAUAUUGGGAGGAACACCCGUGGCGAAGGCGACUCUCUGGACCAAUACUGACGCUGAGACGCGAAAGCGUGGGGAGCAAACAGGAUUAGAUACCCCCGUA